AAGAGAUAAGGGUAAGGAGCCUCGCCGUCGAAUCUACCCUCCCGCCACCAUCACCAGACCUAGGGACCAUCGUUGCCGUGUCUCUACAGUAUUGGGAGCAGCCGAUCUGUCACCGGAAGGGCUGCACACACUCAAAGAAAUCCUCUGUUUCAUUGAGAAGACAAGGAGCGUGCAGAACGACCGGUCAUCUUUUUCUCUAUUUCUCUUAUUAUAAGGGAAAGAUCUCCGCCGCCGCCGCCCAACAGUAGUGGUGAGAUCUCCUCGCUUCACCGAGUGCCGAUCUCGGUCCAGAGAAGGCGCGCCCUAUAGGGUGUUUGGGUGAGCAGAUCUCCACUCUCUACUCAUCUGUGGAGAGUAGAGGAUCUCCCUGGCCGUAGAAGGUUUUCGAUCUUGAAAGAGCAGAGGGUCCCCGAUCUCCCUGGUCGCAGCCUCACCUUCGCAAGGCGAUCUCACUCAAGUUGCCGGGCCCCUUUUCACUGAUGAGAAGAGGAAAGAGGAGAGCAGUGCCGAUAGCAACGGAGUUCUCUCCUCCCUUCACCAAUCGCCAACAGCCCAGUUCUUGAGUUUGUUUACUUUUCCUUCUUUUACAUGCUCUAUUCCUACAACCUCUUCCCUUCUUGCAGAAGAAGAGACCCAGACCCCUCCUCUGUUCGCGUAAGAGGAAGAAGGAAAGCAGAGGAUGCGAUCUCCCUCCUCCUCUGAUCAAUCUCGCUGGCCAAUCGCUCCUUGAGAACAGAAACCUCUGCCCCUUUCCUCGUCGUCGCCCUCCUCUGUUCCACAAAGAAAGAAGAGCGCCGGCCGUAGAGAGGAUAGGGUUCCGUUCCCUUCUGCGAAGAAGAACAGAAAUCUCCUCCUCUAUUCCAUGAGAGCGUAGAUCCGCUGGUUGCGAGCCUUCACCCUUAAAUAGGAGGAAAGUUUUACCUAGCGAAGUCUCGAUAGCAUUGACUUAUAAAUUUGAGUCUCUAAGGUGUGGAAUUGAUGCAAAAUCUCAAGUCAAGAAAUGGUAAAAGGAAUUAUGCUUAGAGCCCGCGAUGCUCUACCGGCCCCCUAUGACUUAACUCAGACGUGGGUGGAUGGAGCUCCCAGACGUGGGAGACUUAUGUUUGGUGGUCAUUCAGAAAUGGAUUGAUCAUAUUAUUUUAUGAUCUCACUUCACCUUCUAUAUGUUUGAUAUGAUAUCAAAAGCUUUGGCUAUGUUUCUAUACAUGCUUUGGAUAAGAAUAAAAUGAAUGCAUCGUCAGGUGACAUUUGAGCUUCUAUU